UGGGGUGACCAACUGUCCUGGUUUGCCUGGGACUGAGGGGUCUCCCAGGACAGGGGACUUUCUGUGCUAAACCCAGCAAAGUCCCAGGCAAACAGGGCAGCUUGGUCACCCUGCCUGUGC
rnacentral:pre_miRNA from 1 species